GGGCCCUUAGCUCAGUUGGUAGAGCAUCUGCCUUUUAAGCAGGUGGUCGCAGGUUCGAAUCCUGCAGGGCCCG
rnacentral:tRNA from 1 species